ACCCCGGGGCCACCAGGACCCACACCCAGGGCCCCCACGUCCCAACUUCUAGGGCCACCAUGUCCUGAAUUUCAGAGCCCCCAUGUCCCAACCAUAGGGCCACCACGUCCCAGGUUUUAGGCCAUUAUGUCCCGAGCUUUAGGGCCCCCAUGUCCCAACCUUAGGGCCCCAUGUCCCAGGUUUUAGGGCCCCCAUGUCCUGAAUUUCAGGGCCACCAUGUCCCAGGUUUUAGGCCAUUAUGUCCCGGCCUUAGGGCCCCCACGUCCCAGGUUUUAGGGCCCCCAUGUCCCAACCUUAGGGCCACCACAUCCCAGGUUUUAGGCCAUUAUGUCUCGAGCUUUAGGGCCCCCAUGCCCCAACCUUAGGGCCACCACUUCCCAGGUUUCAGGGCCCCCACAUCCCAGGUUUAAGGGCCACCAUGUCCUGAAUUUCAGGACCACCACGUCCCAGGUUUUAGGCCCUUAUGUCCCGAGCUUUAGGGCCCCCAUGUCCCAACCUUAGGGCCCCCAUGUCCCAGGUUUUAGGGCCUCCAUGUCCCGAAUUUCAGGGCCACCAUGUCUCAGGUUUUAGGGCCCCCAUGUCCCAACCAUAGGGCCACCAUGUCCCAGGUUCUAGGCCAUUAUGUCCCGAGCUUUAGGGCCCCCAUGUCCCAGGUUUUAGGGCACCAUGUCCCGAAUUUCAGGACCACCACGUCCCAGGUUUUAGGGCCACCAUGUCCUGAAUUUCAGAGCCCCCACGUCCCAACCUUAGGGCCCCCACAUCCCAGGUUUCAGGGCCACCAUGUCCUGAAUUUCAG
rnacentral:lncRNA from 1 species